rnacentral:rRNA from 1 species
UUCGCAAUGCCCGAAAGGGUGACGAAGCGGCGCCGCGUGUGGGAAGAAGGCCUUCGGGUUGUAAACCACUGUUGGGAGUUAGGAAGUGUGGAGGUGUUAAUAGCGCUUUCACUUGACUAAAGCUCCAGAGGAAGCCACGGCUAACUCUGUGCCAGCAGCCGCGGUAAUACAGAGGCGGCAAGCGUUGUUCGGAAUUAUUGGGCGUAAAGAGCACGUAGGCGGCUCUGCAAGUCAGCUGUGAAAGCCUUCUGCUUAACGGAAGAACGGCAGUUGAAACUACAGGGCUUGAGUGCGGGAGGGGAGAGUGGAACUUCUGGUGGAGCGGUGAAAUGCGUAGAUAUCAGAAGGAACGCCGGCGGCGAAAGCGGCUCUCUGGUCCGUAACUGACGCUGAGUGUGCGAAAGCUAGGGGAGCAAACGGGAUUAGAUACCCCGGUAGUCCUAGCCGUAAACGAUGGGCACUAAGUAGAGGGGUUUU